rnacentral:rRNA from 1 species
CCUACGGGUGGCAGCAGUGAGGAAUAUUGGUCAAUGGACGAGAGUCUGAACCAGCCAAGUAGCGUGAAGGAUGACUGCCCUAUGGGUUGUAAACUUCUUUUAUAAGGGAAUAAAACGAGGCACGUGUGCCUUUUUGCGUGUACUUUAUGAAUAAGGAUCGGCUAACUCCGUGCCAGCAGCCGCGGUAAUACGGAGGAUCCGAGCGUUAUCCGGAUUUAUUGGGUUUAAAGGGUGCGUAGAUGGGUUGUUAAGUCAGUUGUGAAAGUUUGGGGCUCAACCGUAAAAUGGCAAUUGAGACUGGGAGGCUGGAGUAUGGGUGAGGCAGGCGGAAUUCGUGGUGUAGCGGUGAAAUGCUUAGAUAUCACGAAGAACUCCGAUUGCGAAGGCAGCUUACUAAACUGUGACUGACAUUGAUGCUCGAAAGUGUGGGUAUCAAACAGGAUUAGAUACCCUGGUAGUC